GACGAACGCUGGCGGCGCGCCUUAUGCAUGCAAGUCGAACGAGAACUAGACCAAUCGUAAGAUUGAUUUAGGGACAGUGGCGAACGGGUGCGUAACACGUGAGAAACCUGCCCUGGAGAUCGGGAUAGCCCGAGGAAACUCGGAUUAAUACCGAAUAUGCUCACAGGACCGCAUGGUCCGGUGAGGAAAUGGUCCGCCGCUCCAGGAUGGUCUCGCGGCCUAUCAGCUUGUUGGUGAGGUAACGGCUCACCAAGGCUCCGACGGGUAGCUGGUCUGAGAGGACGAUCAGCCACACUGGGACUGAGACACGGCCCAGACUCCUACGGGAGGCAGCAGCAGGGAAUAUUGCACAAUGGGCGCAAGCCUGAUGCAGCGACGCCGCGUGCGGGAUGAAGGCCUUCGGGUUGUAAACCGCUUUCAGGAGGGACGAAAAUGACGGUACCUCCAGAAGAAGGCCCGGCCAACUACGUG
rnacentral:rRNA from 1 species